rnacentral:rRNA from 1 species
CCUACGGGUCGCAGCAGUGGGGGAUAUUGCACAAUGGGGGGAACCCUGAUGCAGCGACGCCGCGUGGGUGAAGGAGCGUUUCGGCGCGUAAAGCCCUAUCGGCAGGGAAGAAGCUGACGGUACCUGACCAAGAAGCCCCGGCUAACUACUUGCCAGCAGCCGCGGUAACACGUGGGGCGCAAGCGAUAUCCGGUUGUACUGGGUGUAAAGGGGGCGCACGCGGCAAUGCAAGCACGGAGUGAAUGCCCUGGGGCUAACCCCGGGACUGCUCUUGGAACUGCAUGGCUGGAGUACAGGAGGGGCAGGCGGAAUUCCGGGUGUAGCGGUGAAAUGCGUAGAUAUUAGGAGGAACACCGGUGGCGAAGGCGGCCUGCUGGACUGUGACUGACGUUGAGGCCCGAAGGCGUGGGGAGCAAACAGGAUUAGAUACCCUAGUAGUC